rnacentral:rRNA from 1 species
AACGUAGGAGGCGAGCGUUAUCCGGAGUUACUGGGCGUAAAGCGCGUGUAGGUGGCUGGUCACGUCUGCUGUGAAAUGUCCCGGCUUAACCGGGACUAGGCGGUAGAUACGGAUCGGCUAGAGGGUGACAGAGGAGCGUAGAAUUCCGGGUGUAGUGGUGAAAUGCGUAGAGAUCCGGAGGAAUACCAGUGGCGCAAGCGGCGCUCUGGGUCGAGCCUGACACUGAGACGCGAAGGCAUGGGGAGCGAACGGG